CCUGUAUUCUCGCGAGAUUUCCCGGGCAGCAGUGGCGGGCGCGAAUUCGAUAAGUGGUCCUCCCCGCUGCUGCCGACCAGCUGCUGUGUGCAGCUACCGUGAAGCAGGUUAAGCUGUCCAUGAUGUCCAAGAGGAAGAGUACCACGGUCAGUGACAAGCCCCACAAACGGGCCAAAGCUUUGGAGGAGGAAGAAGUGGACGAUGCAAACGUGUAUGACAGCGAGCAGGACGAGCAGGGCGAUCAGCUGCUGGGUAAACAGGCACAAUCUGCUGGUGAGGUGGUGAGUGAUGCUGGCAUCGUGGAGAGCAUCACGCUGAAGAACUUCAUGUGUCACUCUCUGCUGGGCCCCUUCACCUUUGGCUCCAAUGUCAACUUUGUCGUCGGCAAUAAUGGAAGUGGGAAGAGUGCUGUUCUGACAGCCCUCAUAGUUGCCUUAGGGGGAAAUGCACAGGCCACAAACAGAGGAUCGUCCCUGAAAGGUUUUGUGAAAGAAGGGGAAAGCUCAGCUGAUGUAUCGAUCACCCUGCGUAACAAAGGAAGGGACGCUUACAAACCUGAGGUGUAUGGUCCAGCCAUCAUUGUUGACCUCAGAAUAACACGUGAAGGGUUGAGAACCUAUAAACUGAGGAGCAAAUCAGGUCAAAUUGUCUCAACGAAAAAGGAGGAGCUGCUAUCCAUCUUGGACAAUUUCAAUAUACAAGUCAACAAUCCUGUGUCAGUUCUCACUCAAGAGAUGAGCAAAUACUUCCUACACUCAAAAGGAGAGGGAGAUAAAUACAAGUUUUUUAUGAAAGCUACCCAGCUAGACCAGAUGAGGGAGGACUUCGUCUACAUCAAAACCACCAAACAUGUCACCGAGGAUAAAGUUGAACAACAUAGUGAGUGUUUAAAAGACUUAAAGCGGAAGUACCUGGAGAAAGAGGACCGUUACAAGAGUCUGGAAUCACUUGAUGAAAUGCACACUAAACUGGAGGAGCUGCAGAAGCAAAUGGCUUGGGUUUUGGUGGCUGAGGUGGAGAAGGAGUCGGACCCAAUUAAAGAGAAACUGCAGUCUGACAGACGUGCUACAGAGAAAUAUAAUGAGAAGGUGGAUGAGUGGAAGAAUAAGGUGGAGGAGGCUGAGAAGAAGCAAAGGCAGACCCAGGAACAGCUGGAUGGCAUCACGCAGCAACUCUCUGAGCUCCAGUCCAAAUGUGCUGAGCUCAAGGCUGAGGUCCAGAGACAAAAUAACACUCUCAAACAGAGUGAGGUCACUGUCCACAGAUGCAAGGCCAACCUUAGGGAUCUGGAAAAGGACAAAGUCCAGCUAUCCUCAAGGAUAAAUGAUCUGAAGUUGAGCAUCAGUCAGACAACAGGAGUGGAGAGCCAGGCCAGGACAGAGCGUAUGGGGCAAAUACAGACUGAGCUGGAAAAUCUGACACACCAGAUCUCCACUCUGGGCCAGCAGAUUGACCAGUAUCAACACGCCUGCAGCCGUGCCAAGGAGGAACAAGGAAAGAUGAGGAGAGAGCAGGAGAUGUUCCAGAGGUCCACUGAAGCCAACAGAAGGAACCUGCAGACUAUGGAGAGCAGUCGUUCCAAUCGCCUACGCCGUUUUGGAGAGCACAUGCCCACACUCCUCAACGCCAUCCAGGAAGCUCACAAAAGGGGCCAAUUCAAGCACAGACCUCGAGGACCUCUGGGUUAUCUCAUUAGCCUGAAGGACCCAGAACUGGCCCUGGCUGUAGAAGUGUGCCUUAAAGGCCAGCUGCAGGCCUUCACCUGUGAUAACCACGAGGACGAACGGGUGCUACAGGGCCUCAUGUCCAGAGUGUUCCCACCUGGUCGUAGACCUGCCAUCAUCACCAGCCAUUUUCUCUCACACGUCCAUGACACAAGAAAGAGGGCCGUAAAUCAUCCUGAAUACCCGUCCGUUCUUCAAGCUCUAGAAAUCGAGGACCCUGUUGUCGCUAACUGCCUGAUUGAUCAAAGGGGUAUAGAGAGCAUCCUGCUUAUAAAGAAUCGUACAGAGGCUCGGAGAGUGAUGCAGGGCAAAAACCCUCCUCAGAACUGUAGUCAGGCCUUCUCUAAGGAGGGAGAUCAAAUCUUCAUUAACCGUAGUUACACUGCUGAGCAGACUAGAGCCAACUACCUCUCAGGGGAUGUUGAGGAGGAGAUUAGGCACCUACAGAGGGAGAUGGAGAACCAGGAAGCUCAGGCGAAUCGCUUCCAGCAACAGAUGAGAAAGUUGAACGAGGACAUCAAACAGAAUGAAGGACUGCUGAGAAGAACCCACAUAGAGCAGAAGACUACCAAAGACAAGGCCACGAAGCUACAGCUGGAGCUAACUGACCUAAAAAAUGUGGAAGAGCCUCAGUCAGAGGACCUCAGGCCCCUGGAGGAAGAUCUUCAGGAGAUUGUUACUAAGAUCUCGUCCAAGCGUGCAGAGUUCGAUGAGGCACGAGCUCAGAUGGCUGUGCACAAGGCCUCCUAUGAGAAGGCAGAGCAAGAGUACAAGCAGCACAAAGAGCAGAUCAACACGAUCGCCGAGGAGGCAGACUCAAAAAAGGAGGAGCUGAGUAAAACCGAUCAGGAGGUGAUGAAGUGUAAGCAUCACAAGAAACACUAUGACGACAAACGCAGUGCACAUCUCGACAACAUACAGACCCUCGAGGCCAACCUGGAAAGCAAGGAGCAGGAACUUGAGGCAUCUAUAGCCAAGGCCACCAAAAUCUGCCCAGAGCGACUUGAGGUCCGGCGGACAGCCAGGAGUCUGGACAGUGAGAUCAACCGUCUCAAGGUCAAGAUCACGACUCAGCAGGAACAACAGGGGGACCGUGAGGAGGUUGUAAGGCAGUAUCAAGAGGCUCUGGAGAACUACAAGAACAUGGCACAGCAAAUGAAGAACCUCAACAGCUUCAUCAAAAGUCUGGAUAGUGUUAUGAACCAGAGACUCCAGGUUUACGCUGAGCUCAGGAGGUUCCUCUCAGCGCGCUGUAAAUACUACUUCGAUAGCAUGCUGGCCCAGAGAGGUUACACUGGAAGCAUGACGUUUAACCACAAGAGCGAAACCCUCUCCAUCUCAGUGCAGCCGGGCCAGGGAAACAAGGCUGACUUGAGUGACAUGCGCUCGCUGUCUGGAGGCGAGCGCUCCUUCUCCACUGUUUGCUUUGUUCUCUCUCUUUGGGCCAUCACUGAGGCGCCUUUCCGCUGUCUUGACGAGUUUGAUGUUUACAUGGACAUGGUGAACAGGAGGAUAUCGAUGGACAUGAUGCUGAAGGUGGCUGCUGGUCAGAGAUACAGGCAGUUCAUCUUUCUCACACCACAGAGCAUGAGUUCUCUCCCAGUGAGCAAAAUCAUCCGCAUCCUCCGUCUCAAAGAUCCAGACCGUGGCCAAAAUAACUCACAGAGGAGUCAAAACGAGGGCCAGUAGUGUUGCCAGUGGUAAUUUAACGACAAAUGAGAUCCCUGAGAGCUGCAACAAGCAGACAAUAUGAAGCCCAAAUCUCUUCCAUCAAUGUUGUUCGAUAGAAAUUCAGCAGCAGCCAAGACUCUGAGCCCAAGGGCAGCAAAAUAUCAACGGCAUGUGGACUGUGCGGAUCACCAAGAGAGCCUACAUCACUCAGGACACGACAAAGGCACACAAGACGAGAAGUGCCACAGAGGAGUUCAUUUUGCAUUUUUGCCAGAGAGGUACGAGCAACUGAUAGACGACGAGGCAAAAGAAGAGAAGAAGAAAAGGAAGAAAGAACAGUACAAAAAAGUCAAGAAGCAGCUCAUCUCGGAUCACUGGCCUCACUUCUUGGCUCAGGUUGACCCAGGCGGACUAAAGCCAGAGAUUACUUUUACUAAAGAGCUUUAAAGCUUCAUUUAUGUCACCUCUCUGGCUGGCUGGCUGAUGAACGUCCUGACAAACAAUGAAGAGGUCAGAACAUGCUGUGCACUUCCGCUAAGGAGCUGGUCUGCAGUUAUUAUCACCUUAUACCUGAGUGAAUUUUCAAUUUGGAAUGUUGGUAAAGCGCUUCGCACCACCUGGAAGUAUAUGAUGCUUGGCCUGUACAACUUUGCCCUCAGCUACUCUACUCCGAUCACAGUUGCUGCUACUUUUGUCCCUGACUUUCACCCAGGCCGAAACAGGACCUGAGCUGAGCCACGUGCACCUCCUCCGGUUUCUUUGCAAACUGUACUGGAUGUAAACAGCUGACCAAAGACGUUUAAUAUGUUUUUAAUGGUUGUGUAUUUAAAUGUACAUUUUUAUAUUUCUUUCUGCACAUUUUAAUCAAAAUAUGCUUAUUGUGCCGUAGGAAAUUGACUGGUGAAGUCAGAAAUUGACCUUUUUUUCAUGACAUUUUGAAAAAAGGCACAGUGAAAAAUGAUUUGCUAUCUUUAUAUAUGUACUCCUUAAGGUUAAACGCACCCUAGUUUAAACACUGCAAAACGUAUGUGCCUUUUUCACUCGAGCAUCUAGCCUGUGUUUGCAUGUGUGCAGAGGGAUAAUAUUGUGAGCAGGGACGUCAGGAGUAUUUACUGUAGCUGCAGAUAAAGUGAAUCAGGGCAAGAAAGACUUAACGGGAAGUGAUCAUCAGUGAAGUACGACAAAAGACGAAUAUGUUGAGACUGAAAGGUGUGGACACGCAGUGAGGAAAAAAGCAGGGCACUCUAUACUUCAAGAAUGCAGCAACUGAAGCAUUAAUGAUCUCCAGAGUAGUCCAGACUCCAGAGAGUUUGUUGAAUGAAAUAUAACGUGGGAAUUUUGAAGGUAGUCCUAAACAUUUCAGCGUUUGCGUACAUUGCAAGUCGUGAUAAGUUGGCAUGUGAUAAAAUGUGAAUAAAUUGUGCACCAAAAGAUGUCUUUUCUUAUAUUUUUGCUUUAAUAGGUUUCUGUGUAAAUUAUCUUCUUCUGCCAAUAGGUUCUUUGACUUAGUGACAAAGUUAAGUAUAAAUCCAUAUUCAUUUUAUCAUAGUAUAAAUGGAAGGAACAAACAAAUGAUUUAAUUUGAAAUAUAAAGUGGACACAUUCUGGAAUAAAGGAAUCUGAAAAUG